UACGGGGGGGGUAAGCGUUGUUCGGAAUUACUGGGCGUAAAGGGCUCGUAGGCGGCCAACUAAGUCAGACGUGAAAUCCCUCAGCUUAACUGGGGAACUGCGUCUGAUACUGGAUGGCUUGGAUUCGGGAGAGGAAUGCGGAAUUCCAGGUGUAGCGGUGAAAUGCGUAGAUAUCUGGAGGAACACCGGUGGCGAAGGCGGGUUGCUGGGCCGACACUGACGCUGAUGCGCGAAAGCCAGGGGAGCGAACGGG
rnacentral:rRNA from 1 species